rnacentral:rRNA from 1 species
GACGAACGCUGGCGGCGUGCUUAACACAUGCAAGUCGAACGGAAAGGCCCUGCUUUUGUGGGGUGCUCGAGUGGCGAACGGGUGAGUAACACGUGAGUAACCUGCCCUUGACUUUGGGAUAACUUCAGGAAACUGGGGCUAAUACCGGAUAGGAGCUCCUGCUGCAUGGUGGGGGUUGGAAAGUUUCGGCGGUUGGGGAUGGACUCGCGGCUUAUCAGCUUGUUGGUGGGGUAGUGGCUUACCAAGGCUUUGACGGGUAGCCGGCCUGAGAGGGUGACCGGCCACAUUGGGACUGAGAUACGGCCCAGACUCCUACGGGGGGCAGCAGUGGGGAAUAUUGCACAAUGGGCGGAAGCCUGAUGCAGCAACGCCGCGUGCGGGAUGACGGCCUUCGGGUUGUAAACCGCUUUCGCCUGUGACGAAGCGUGAGUGACGGUAAUGGGUAAAGAAGCACCGGCUAACUACGUGCCAGCAGCCGCGGUGAUACGUAGGGUGCGAGCGUUGUCCGGAUUUAUUGGGCGUAAAGGGCUCGUAGGUGGUUGAUCGCGUCGGAAGUGUAAUCUUGGGGCUUAACCCUGAGCGUGCUUUCGAUACGGGUUGACUUGAGGAAGGUAGGGGAGAAUGGAAUUCCUGGUGGAGCGGUGGAAUGCGCAGAUAUCAGGAGGAACACCAGUGGCGAAGGCGGUUCUCUGGGCCUUUCCUGACGCUGAGGAGCGAAAGCGUGGGGAGCGAACAGGCUUAGAUACCCUGGUAGUCCACGCUGUAAACGGUGGGUACUAGGUGUGGGGUCCAUUCCACGGGUUCCGUGCCGUAGCUAACGCUUUAAGUACCCCGCCUGGGGAGUACGGCCGCAAGGCUAAAACUCAAAGGAAUUGACGGGGCCCCGCACAAGCGGCGGAGCAUGCGGAUUAAUUCGAUGCAACGCGUAGAACCUUACCUGGGUUUGACAUGGAUCGGGAGCGCUCAGAGAUGGGUGUGCCUCUUUUGGGGUCGGUUCACAGGUGGUGCAUGGCUGUCGUCAGCUCGUGUCGUGAGAUGUUGGGUUAAGUCCCGCAACGAGCGCAACCCUUGUUCACUGUUGCCAGCACGUUAUGGUGGGGACUCAGUGGAGACCGCCGGGGUCAACUCGGAGGAAGGUGGGGAUGGCGUCAAGUCAUCAUGCCCCUUAUGUCCAGGGCUUCACGCAUGCUACAAUGGCUGGUACAGAGAGUGACGAGCCUGUGAGGGUGAGCGAAUCUCGGAAAGCCGGUCUCAGUUCGGAUUGGGGUCUGCAACUCGACCUCAUGAAGUCGGAGUCGCUAGUAAUCGCAGAUCAGCAACGCUGCGGUGAAUACGUUCCCGGG